CCUACGGGGGGCAGCAGUGAGGAAUAUUGGUCAAUGGACGAGAGUCUGAACCAGCCAAGUAGCGUGAAGGAUGACUGCCCUAUGGGUUGUAAACUUCUUUUAUAUGGGAAUAAAACGUUCCACGUGUGGGACUUUGUAUGUACCAUAUGAAUAAGGAUCGGCUAACUCCGUGCCAGCAGCCGCGGUAAUACGGAGGAUCCGAGCGUUAUCCGGAUUUAUUGGGUUUAAAGGGAGCGUAGGGCGAAUGUUAAGUGAGUUGUGAAAGUUUGCGGCUCAACCGUAGAAUUGCAGUUGCAACUGGCAGUCUUGAGUACAGUAGAGGUAGGCGGAAUUCGUGGUGUAGCGGUGAAAUGCUUAGAUAUCACGAAGAACUCCGAUUGCGAAGGCAGUUCACUGGACUGCAACUGACACUGAGGCUCGAAAGUGUGGGUAUCAAACAGGAUUAGAUACCCCAGUAGUC
rnacentral:rRNA from 1 species